rnacentral:rRNA from 1 species
UACGGAGGAUGCGAGCGUUAUCCGGAUUUAUUGGGUUUAAAGGGUGCGUAGGCGGUCUGUUAAGUCAGCGGUAAAAUUGCGGGGCUCAACCUCGCCGAGCCGUUGAAACUGGUAGACUUGAGUGGGCGAGAAGUACGCGGAAUGCGUGGUGUAGCGGUGAAAUGCAUAGAUAUCACGCAGAACUCCGAUUGCGAAGGCAGCGUACCGGCGCCCAACUGACGCUGAAGCACGAAGGCGUUGGUAUCGAACAGG